GGCUAGUCCGAUGGCAAUGGGUUAUCAGAACUUAUUAACAUUAGUGUCACUAAAGUUGUUAUACCACCCCCCCCACUGCUAAAUUUGACUGGCUUUAA
rnacentral:Y_RNA from 1 species